UGCUUUAAAAUACAACGUGUAUCAACGUGCAAUCUCAACAAUCGGUUAUAGACAAUCGGAAAUAUAGAUAAUUUCUAUCGAUUCCGAUUGUCUACCGAUAAGGCAAAAAUGGGUCCGAUACCGAUUAUCGGUAACUAUGGUUAAUCACUACAUAAAGUACAUGUUUCUGAAAGGUAUUCUUUCAGUAACCUGAAACCCAGAGCCUGAAACCACGAGUUAGAACAAGAAAGACGACAAAUGCGUACACAAACA